AUGGUCCGGCGACGCCGCACCUCGUCGGAGGUGCCUGCUUCCCAGCUGGAUAACGAAGAUAUACUCUGGGAGAUCCUCCUCCGUCUCCCGUCCCAGCCGUCCUCCCUGCUGCGCGCAUCCGCAGUCUGCAAGAGGUGGAGACGCCUCGUAACCGACCUUCAGUUCCUCGGCCACUUCCGCGCCCACCACCGGACGCCGCCCCUCCUCGGCGCCUUCGUGUGCCGCCGCCGCGGCAUGGCCACCGAGUUCGCCCCUAUUCUAGGUCCUCCUGACCGCAUCCCUCCUGAGCGCUUUGACCUCCGAAGCUGCAGCAAGUGGCCUGCUGAUCGCCAUGUGCUUGAUUGCCGCCACGGCCGUGUCCUCGUGAAAGACAACCUGAAGCAUGAGGUUGUUGUGUGUGACCCCGUCACAGGCGAGCAGUGCCGCGUGUCCAUUCCGCCGGAGUUCAAGAAUACUCGUGCCCACAUCCACGGGGCGGUGCUCUGUGCAGCUGCCGACCAUGACCACGUGCAUGGCAGCUGCCACUCUACCUCCUUCAAGGUGGCCUUGUUGUCCAUCUACAGGCUGGAUAGGCGGCCAGUCGCCUGUGUUUACUCCUCAGAGACCGACACGUGGGGAAAUCUCAUCACAGUAGUGGAACCAUGUGAGCCUCAUGGUUUUCUUAUUCCUGUGACUCUUAUUGGUAAUGUCCUUUACUGGAGCAUACUUGAGUUUGAUUUUGAUAGGCAGAGUCUAGCUAUGAUCAAGGGGCCUAGUGGUAUAAAUAAACUCCACAGAUCUCAUAUCAUCAUCAAGACAGAGGAUGGGGGUGUUGGUCUUGCCGUAUUAUCUGCACCGAGAGUUCACAUAUGGCAAAGGAAGGUCAAUUGUGAGGGUGUUAGCACAUGGUUGUUGCAGAAGACCAUUGAAAUGAAUAAAAUUCUUAGGAUCUCUCCUCGGAUUAAGAGAAGUAUGGGACGGCUGCUGGGGUAUGAUGAGGAUACUGACGAAAUAUGUUUGUAUAUAUAUGGCAGUGUCUAUAUGGUCCAACUUAAGUCAAUGCAAUACAGGAAACUGUAUAAAACCAAUUAUUAUACAAACUAUUAUCCUUUCAAGAGUUUCUAUGUGCCAGGUGAUCUUUCAUCCCUAGUCCUUAUUGUACAUAUAGGAGUAUAA
rnacentral:rRNA from 1 species